rnacentral:rRNA from 1 species
CCUACGGGAGGCAGCAGUGGGGAAUAUUGCACAAUGGGGGAAACCCUGAUGCAGCAACGCCGCGUGAGUGAAGAAGUAUUUCGGUAUGUAAAGCUCUAUCAGCAGGGAAGAAGAAAGACGGUACCUGACUAAGAAGCCCCGGCUAACUACGUGCCAGCAGCCGAGGUAAUACUUAGGGGGCAAGCGUUAUCCGGAUUUAAUGGGUGUAAAGGGAGCGUAGAAGGUUGGCCAAGUCUGGAGUGAAAGGCCGGGGCUUAACCCCGGAACGGCUUUGGAAACUGGGCAGCUAGAGGGCUGGAGAGGUAAGCGGAAUUCCGAGUGUAGCGGUGAAAUGCGUAGAUAUUAGGAGGAACACCAGUGGCGAAGGCGGCUUACUGGACAGUAACUGACGUUGAGGCUCGAAAGCGUGGGGAGCAAACAGGAUUAGAUACCCUGGUAGUC